UAAUACGGAGGGUGCAAGCGUUAUCCGGAUUUACUGGGUUUAAAGGGUGCGUAGGCGGACCAUGUAAGUCAGGGGUGAAAUCCCGGGGCUCAACCCCGGAACUGCCUUUGAUACUACUGGUCUUGAAUGUUGUUGAGGUGGGCGGAACGGGUCAUGUAGCGGUGAAAUGCAUAGAUAUGACCCGGAACACCGAUUGCGAAGGCAGCCCGCUAAGCAACCAUUGACGCUGAGGCACGAAAGCGUGGGGAUCAAACAGGAUUAGAUACCCUGGUAGUCCACGCCCUAAACGAUGAUUACUGGACGUUGGCAAUAUGACCGAUCAGCGUCUUUCUAAGCGAAAGCAUUAAGUAAUCCACCUGGGAAGUACGUUCGCAAGAAUG
rnacentral:rRNA from 1 species